rnacentral:snRNA from 1 species
AGCUACGUGAUGAGCACAAAGCGAUCUAUUCUUUCGCCUUUUACUAAAGAAUACUAUGUGCUAGUCACAAUAAGCAGCAUAGAGGGUGCUUUCUCCUUGGUUGAGAAAG